rnacentral:rRNA from 1 species
AACGCUGGCGGCGUGCCUAAUACAUGCAAGUCGAAGCGAAGCGGAACCCACCAGAUUUACUUCGGUAAUGACGUUGGGAAAGCGAGCGGCGGAUGGGUGAGUAACACGUGGGGAACCUGCCCCUAAGUCUGGGAUACCAUUUGGAAACAGGUGCUAAUACCGGAUAAUAAAGCAGAUCGCAUGAUCAGCUUUUGAAAGGCGGCGUAAGCUGUCGCUAAGGGAUGGCCCCGCGGUGCAUUAGCUAGUUGGUAAGGUAACGGCUUACCAAGGCGACGAUGCAUAGCCGAGUUGAGAGACUGAUCGGCCACAUUGGGACUGAGACACGGCCCAAACUCCUACGGGAGGCAGCAGUAGGGAAUCUUCCACAAUGGACGCAAGUCUGAUGGAGCAACGCCGCGUGAGUGAAGAAGGUUUUCGGAUCGUAAAGCUCUGUUGUUGGUGAAGAAGGAUAGAGGUAGUAACUGGCCUUUAUUUGACGGUAAUCAACCAGAAAGUCACGGCUAACUA